rnacentral:lncRNA from 1 species
GGCUUUCGUUUUUGGGGCUGGGCGCUGGGCGCUUGCCCUCCUGGCUCCCAAAGAUGUAAGCAAUAAAGUUUUGCCGCAGAAGAUUUUGGUUUGUUGCGUCUUUCCUGGCCGGGCAUGAGAACGCGAUUAAGAGACGGGAGAUGGCUAAGUUGGUAAAUCACCUGCUACAAAACCAUAAAGACCUGAGUUUGGAUCCAGGAACCCAGAUUUCAUCCAUGGACUUUGGCAAUUUUUAUCUUAUUUGGAUAUAACAUAUGAGCUGCUGAUCUGAAGAAUCCUAUGCCAAAAGGACUGGAUUAAGAAGUCACGUUCCUUCCUGAAUCUCAGUGGAGUGGAGCAGACUGCAGGAUGGGGGAGAAACAGUUUAUUUAAAGACUCCCAAAGACGUGAAGGAGUAAGAAAGGAAGGCAGGACCAGUGUUAAAACUUCUCUAUCUAUUCUGUGAGCUUUCUCCUCUCCUUUAGUCCUGACCUCAGGACCACAUGUCAUGUGCCUGUGGCAAUGUACAGGUGUAAGUUUCUAGUCCAGUGCACUGGUGAAUUAUAAACAUGAAUAUGCCCUAAUCCUAAUAUACAUAUCUUUCCUUAACUACUGUAAUAAGUACAUCUAAUCAAAUAGAUGUGUUUUCCUAUUUGAUAUUGCUUAGUGGAACUGCCACCGCCCAGGUGAUUGUAUUGGGAAAAAAAAAAAAAAACUAUCUUAAAUUUUUUUCUCUCUUUCUCCUUAAUCUCUCUGUAUUUUAUAAACUCAAUUUUUCUUUUUCUUUUUUCUUUUCUUUUCCUUUCUUUUCUCUUCUUUUCUUUUCUUUUCUUUCUUUCUUUUUUAUUUUUUUUUACUAUUUUUAUUUGGGACUUUAUUGUCUCUCUACCUAUCCUGAGCUUAGUUCUUUUGCCUUUCUUUCUCUCUAUUCUAGUAUUGUCCAAAUCCAUCAUUUAUACUUUUAAAAGCAAAUAACUGGCUAUUUUUUUCAUUUUAAACACUUCAAUGUCUCACCACUACCCUCAGGAAAAAAUGUGUUAUAUGUACCUGGCUAAAUUUAUAUCUAAUGUAUUAAUUUUUAUGCUUUUCUCUUCAUCCUGCUGAGUAAGCCACAAUUAAGUUAAAACUAAAGUUGAGUAACCUUGACAUGGGCAAUGAUACCGUAUCCAGAGGGAUAUUGAGUGAGAGCAAGUAGAAAAAUCAGUCAUUAAAAAUCCAAUUAGGAAAUGUGAGGGAAAUAAUAGGGUUUAGACCCAAACAAGCCAACACUCCAGAGGAGAUAAAAGAAAAGAUUACAUUGAGAAGACUGAAAAGGGACCUUUUACAGUCUCAAAUGCCUGUGCCCUGUAGUGAGGGAAGAAGAAGUGGCAGAGAGCAGGAGGCCAACAGUAAGAGGAUGAGGGACAAACUCGGUGGAUUGUCUUGUGGGGCUGUGGGACAUUGCAAACAAGUCUCCCCCUAGUAGAAGACACUUUGCCAUCUGACUUUUGUGUUUUCCUUUAUACCAGCUGUUUCUCUCUGCCUUAUGUACAGUGACCUUCGUUCAAUAGCAGGCACACUGCUGUUCAGACUAGAAGGUGGCAUCUCGCCUAAGAUUUUCCAAAUGUCUCACACACCCCACUUGGAAUGGUAACUCUCCAUUUUCCCUCAGUACAUCCAUAAACAUAGGGAAGAGCCUCUGGGUCAAGGAGAGCACCAGCACUCACUGGAGAAUUCCAUUGUGGUUAAAGCAUUCUUCUCACAUGUCUAUGACCGUAAUUCUCCUGCAGUGCCUGUCCCUUCACACAUACCUCAAGGCAUAACAGACAAGAUUGAGUUCAGCAAGUGCGUUCCUUUAUGAAGAAUCUUCUAUUCCUGCUACAUAAAAAGUCAUAGUGUACAUAUGAAUCUAUUAACAGUACAUCAUUUUAGAAUACAUGGCUUUCUUUUAUCUUGUCACAUGUACGCAUGUACAAAAUGCAUCAAAAUUCUUUAGUAUUGUUACUUGCCCAUCAGUUCUCACUUAUCUCCACCAAACCUGGCUUUAAUUUUGGGAGGACCUUUGCCUAUCUGUUUGGUACUCAGUGCUAGUGCAUUUAAUGAAUGUGGGACAGAGGAAUGAAGGUAAGGAGACAAAUCUCUUCUUUCAAUCCUUAGCGAUCAGCUCAAGGCAGACUCAGAAGCAGUAAAUUAUUCUGUGAAAUCGUCACUGCUAUCUUCUUUUUCCUCAGGUAAUUCCUUGUUUCUGUCAAUUUAUGCCCUAACUGAAUUUUUACAUUUUAUUUCCAACUCUUGCUUUUGAUUAUAAAAAGCUCACCAGACAUGAUACUGUUAUAGCUUUAAGUAAGGGGUAAGUUCUCCAGUGUAACAGGUGCCGAAGUUAAGUAACUGUAUAUGCUGGUCCAAAUUCCUGCCUUCAGUCCAAUGUAAUAUGACUUAGAAAGACAGGUGCAUGUGUGCACACUUGCAUGCACAUGUGUAUGUGUACACACAUGCAUGUACACAAUCAAACAUACUUAAAGCCUAUGCUUUAUGUUGUAAAAAUAUUUUAUAUGCACUACCAUUCAUUUUUCUUACAUUGUUGGGAAUGAAAAUGAGGAUUUUUGUACAUGUGAGCCAAGAACUCUAUCUCUGAACUCCAUACCAAGUGAAGAGAUUUCCUAAAAUAUGUAAUAUUACUUGCUGUGAUCUCAUAUAGCCUAAGUGUAUAAAUAAUCAGAACAACCCUUCUAUUUUCCUCUUCCCUAACUAUACAGACCAUGUCCCUGUCCCUAAUUUCUGAAUGCCUCAAACUGUCUUCAACUGAAAGCAUUGUUUUUAUAGAGCACUUAGGAGCUCAGGCAACUUCAUGCUGGCAUUCCGGGUUGACUAAACUCUGAACAGUUAAGGAAAGAUAUUUAGUUUCCUCCUUGUGUUUUCAUCGCCAUGAACCAGGUGACUACAAAAAGUAAAGUUUUGUAAAAUAAAUGAUUUCUUACAGUUACCUC